AGCAGCCGCGGUAAUUCCAGCUCCAAUAGCGUAUAUUAAAGUUGUUGCAGUUAAAAAGCUCGUAGUUGAAUUUCGGGAUCAAUACGUUGGUCGUGCUUUCGGGUACGUACUGGCGUCAUUGGUUUCUCCCUUCUGACGAACCUUGAUGUCAUUAAUUUGGUGUCUUGGGAAAUCAGGACUGUUACUUUGAAAAAAUUAGAGUGUUUAAAGCAGGCUCACGCUUGAAUACAUUAGCAUGGAAUAAUGAAAUAGGACGUUUGAUUCUAUUUUGUUGGUUUCUAGGAUCGACGUAAUGAUUAAUAGGGAUAGUUGGGGGGCAUUAGUAUUCAAUUGUCAGAGGUGAAAUUCUUGGAUUUAUUGAAGACUAACUACUGCGAAAGCAUUUGCCAAGGAUGUUUUUCAUUAAUCAAGAACGAAAGUUAGGGGAUCGAAGACGAUCAGAUACCGUCGUAGUCUUAACCAUAAACUAUGCCGACUAGGGAUCGGAUGAUGUUAAUUUUUUUAAUGACUCAUUCGGCGC
rnacentral:rRNA from 1 species